UCUCCCAACUCAAAGUGCAUCUCUCUCUCUCCAACUCUGAUUUCUGUAAGUCUCACCAGAAGCUUGGACCCAGAUUCCCAAGUCUAACAUAUUCUUUUGCCCCAGUGCCCUAUGCCCCGAUUACAGCCUACUUGCAUUUUUAAAACAAUAGUUUCCAGAGUGAUGUUGUCAGCAGCCCAUGACACAAAUCAUUGGUGACCAACCCUUUGGCAACCACUGUGCCUUAACACCUCUGGCAGCUUGCAGUAUGGUAGUGUGCUUCUCCAGGGAUGUACACAUAACACAGGGAACACGAGGACAAAAGCCAGGCUCUCCUGCUGACACACAAAGGUCUCAGGCUAACUCUGUCAGUCGUAUCAACAGUCAGCACCAUAGCACAAGAGAUAGUUAUAAUUACUAGCAGAGCUGUUUUUGGUUUAGCUCUUGUGAGCCUCCUGACCACCCUGGGAGGCAAGGAGGUGGUGUGAUAACCAAAGGAAGACGUGUCCAUGAUGAUGAAACUGUGGUUCUUCUGAAGUUCUGAACUACUAGGGCUGGUCUCUGCCAGACGCCUGGUCUGCAGCUGCAUGGAAGAAACAUGAAUUUUCUUGGAUUUCAGAACAUGCUACUUAACUGAUGUUUCAUCACAAAAAUUUACACUGAAAACAUAUAAAAGCAAAUAAGCAAAAGGCAAAUAAUGGACAAUACAGAAGCAUUUCAGCUUGAUUCAAUUCAACAUUCAGUAUACUCAAAGGUGAUCCAUAGUGCUUUCCACAAAUAAAAAAAUUUUAUUGUA